UUUACCUGGAUAUGGAGAUACUAUCUUUUAUUAUUGUUUGUCUCAUUUUAUUAGGAGAUGUCAAGCUCAAUCCUGUAUGGCCUUGUAACAGGUAUUAACUCAAUGGAAAUAUUACAGACUCAUUCUAGUAAACAGAGCUUUUUGCUGCACAGCUAAUACCAAACCAAACAAGGAAGGAUAUCAUGAGAACAAUGGGUGUAUCUGAUUACAACAAUCAAAGUAUUUGACUGAUGUUGGUCAUGUGUUUAAAAAACUGCAAAACUGUUUGUUUAUUGACAUUGCUACUU